UACGUAGGGUGCGAGCGUUGUCCGGAAUUAUUGGGCGUAAAGAGCUUGUAGGCGGUCUGUCGCGUCUGCUGUGAAAAUCCGGGGCUCAACCCCGGACUUGCAGUGGGUACGGGCAGACUAGAGUGUGGUAGGGGAGACUGGAAUUCCUGGUGUAGCGGUGAAAUGCGCAGAUAUCAGGAGGAACACCGGUGGCGAAGGCGGGUCUCUGGGCAUUUCCUGACGCUGAGGCGCGAAAGCGUGGGGAGCAAACGGG
rnacentral:rRNA from 1 species